AUGCUGGCUGUUUUUUUCUUGUUUUUUGAAAUGCUCAACCAAUUGGCUCAGCCUCUUUUUUUUCUGCUGUGUCACCUUUUAAUACAGGUUUUCAUCACCUCUGCGAAAGGGAUUUUUUUUCUCCCCAGUGAAAAAGAUGGAUUGAUUAUCGUGAUCAAUAUGGAAGUAAAAUCUACAAGUUCAAAUGAGACUUAGAGUUAUUCUCUGAAGAUUUAGCAACAAAGACUGCCAAGUGUUUAAUCAAAAGGGCCAGCCCACAAAGGGACAUUGACUUUCAGUUCAUGAU
rnacentral:lncRNA from 1 species